AGUGAACGCUGGCGGCAGGCCUAACACAUGCCAGUCGAGCGGAUGAAGGGAGCUUGCUCCUGGAUUCAGCGGCGGACGGGUGAGUAAUGCCUAGGAAUCUGCCUGGUAGUGUGGGAUAACGUCCGGAAACGGGCGCUAAUACCGCAUACGUCCUGAGGGAGAAAGGGGGGGAUCUUCGGACCUCACGCUAUCAGAUGAGCCUAGGUCGGAUUAGCUAGUUGGUGGGGUAAAGGCCUACCAAGGCGACGAUCCGUAACUGGUCUGAGAGGAUGAUCAGUCACACUGGAACUGAGACACGGUCCAGACUCCUACGGGAGGCAGCAGUGGGGAAUAUUGGACAAUGGGCGAAAGCCUGAUCCAGCCAUGCCGCGUGUGUGAAGAAGGUCUUCGGAUUGUAAAGCACUUUAAGUUGGGAGGAAGGGCAGUAAGUUAAUACCUUGCUGUUUUGACGUUACCAACAGAAUAAGCACCGGCUAACUUCGUG
rnacentral:rRNA from 1 species